rnacentral:rRNA from 1 species
UGGGGAAUAUUGGACAAUGGGCGAAAGCCUGAUCCAGCAAUGCCGCGUGAGUGAUGAAGGCCCUAGGGUUGUAAAGCUCUUUUACCCGGGAAGAUAAUGACUGUACCGGGAGAAUAAGCCCCGGCUAACUCCGUGCCAGCAGCCGCGGUAAUACGGAGGGGGCUAGCGUUGUUCGGAAUUACUGGGCGUAAAGCGCACGUAGGCGGCUUUGUAAGUCAGAGGUGAAAGCCUGGAGCUCAACUCCAGAACUGCCUUUGAGACUGCAUCGCUUGAAUCCAGGAGAGGUCAGUGGAAUUCCGAGUGUAGAGGUGAAAUUCGUAGAUAUUCGGAAGAACACCAGUGGCGAAGGCGGCUGACUGGACUGGUAUUGACGCUGAGGUGCGAAAGCGUGGGGAGCAAACA